rnacentral:rRNA from 1 species
GUCUGGGAAACUGCCUGAUGAGGGGGAGUAACUACUGGAAACGGUAGCUAAUACCGCAUAACGUCGCAAGACCAAAGAGGGGGACCUUCGGGCCUCUUGCCAUCGGAUGUGCCCAGAUGGGAUUAGCUAGUAGGUGGGGUAACGGCUCACCUAGGCGACGAUCCCUAGCUGGUCUGAGAGGAUGACCAGCCACACUGGAACUGAGACACGGUCCAAACUCCUACGGGAGGCAGCAUG